rnacentral:antisense_RNA from 1 species
GCCGGGGCCGGAUGAGUAUCCCCACUCCCCUAACCCCACUCCAACAUUCUAUGUGCUACCACGCUCCCGUAUUUCAACCCAACUGGUUGAGCAGGAAACAUUCCUAAGAUGAGCAGGUAGCCCGUGGAGCUGGACCCAAGUCUCCCCAGCCCAUGUCCACUGACACCCUGCAUGAUCGGAAGGCUUUAAAGAACCCUCACUCAGAAACCUCAUAUUAUUUUUGGAUGCCUACGGUGUAAAAGCACCCCCUGCGUUCCGAAUAAUUCAUUUCAAGAAACAUAGUAUUAAGUGUUUAGCAUGUGCCAGGCGCCUGAAUAGGUGCAGGGGUAAAAAUGUCUUGACACCAAGGAACCGCCCGCAUUUGUGAAUCUGCUGAACAUCGACAUUGAUGGAUUGGAUGCUGCCGCCUUUACCCCUCCCCCUCCUGCCACGUGUCAUCGCGCCUACUUAGCGACACCUAGUGGUCAGUAAAGAUAACUAUCUGAAUCAAUGACGCCUCUCAGGACUUCCUCUCAACAGAGUUUGAGCAAGUUUUCUUCUGCUGUGUCGGAACCCUCUCCCAGAUCAGAUCAUUAGAACCUCUUCCAGUAUCUUAUGUAUAUGUGUCUAGAAUGACUUUUUUUUUUUGAGAUAGAGUCUUGCUCUGUCGCCCAGGCUGGAGUGUAAUGGCCUGAUCUCGACUCACUGCAACCUCCACCUCCCAGGUUCAAGCGAUCCUCCCACCUCAGCCUCCCGAGUAGCUGGGAUUACAGGGACAUGCCACCACGCCCGGCUAUUUUUGUAUUUUUAGUAGAGUUUCACCAUGUUGGCCAGGCUGGUCUUGAACUCCUGACCUCCGGUGAUCUGCCUGCCUUGGCCUCCCAAAGUUCUGGGAUUACAGGUGUGAGCCACCGCACCCAGCCUAGAAUGACUUUUUAAGAUCUCUUUCUGUACACAUUUGAUCAAUAACCUUGGAAACGUUAUUCUUGUAGUACAUUUUAUUGCUGUAAGGGAAAGUUAAGACUUCUGAAUAAACAAAAAUGAUUACUGAGCACCUCCAAUGGAAAACUAUGCAUUCUUUACAGCACACCUUUCUAAGUUAUUUGUUUCUAUGGAAUCUGUGUCUUUUCUCGUCUUGGAGUUAUUUUAGAGCUCUGUAGAUUGUGGAUAAAUACAAAUAAUUCUUGUCUAUAAACAUGCAAAUAAAUUCUGCCUGAUGGAAGUUCAGUAGACUCCACCUUACCCCACACCCGCACUCCACCCCGCCGCCCAUGGAAAAAGUCAAUUUUGUGUCCAUUGGUAAAUGAAUUUCAACGUUGCUUUACUCUAUAUAAAUUGGUCUUUGACCUUUCCUUUGAACCGGUGGUGACCUCUGGCUAGUUUCCCCUUUAAUUCAUGAGUUAAAUAAAAUUUUGACAUAUUUUCAUUCUAUUA